AUGAACGCUGGCGGCGUGCCUAAUACAUGCAAGUCGAGCGAACGGACGAGAAGCUUGCUUCUCUGAUGUUAGCGGCGGACGGGUGAGUAACACGUGGAUAACCUACCUAUAAGACUGGGAUAACUUCGGGAAACCGGAGCUAAUACCGGAUGAUAUUUUGAACCGCAUGGUUCAAAAGUGAAAGACGGUCUCGCUGUCACUUAUAGAUGGAUCCGCGCUGCAUUAGCUAGUUGGUAAGGUAACGGCUUACCAAGGCAACGAUGCAUAGCCGACCUGAGAGGGUGAUCGGCCACACUGGAACUGAGACACGGUCCAGACUCCUACGGGAGGCAGCAGUAGGGAAUCUUCCGCAAUGGGCGAAAGCCUGACGGAGCAACGCCGCGUGAGUGAUGAAGGUCUUCGGAUCGUAAAACUCUGUUAUUAGGGAAGAACAUAUGUGUAAGUAACUGUGCACAUCUUGACGGUACCUAAUCAGAAAGCCACGGCUAACUACGUG
rnacentral:rRNA from 1 species